GGAUUUUUACGGUAGGAGCAUUUCUCUUAAAGAGACAAUACAUCUGACUGCAGUCUCACCCGUGACCUCUGGAGGUGGCGUAGGAGACUUGAGCAUUUCACAAGUUUACACUACAUUAAAAGGUCUAGCUGAUGGUAUUUUCUCGAAACCUCUAGAGAAUCUAUCAUAGUGUAAAUACGACCUUAGAUGUAGUCUCAUGCUAUACUAUGGUCUCAUACUUAGUACAUGUGACAUCAAUAGGUUCCCUUCUCAUCACCGUGGAAGACUCCAGUGUACUUACUGAUGGGACAAGAUGACAUCUCCUCUGGCUAUGGAAGCAGCAGAGUGACGCACAGAGCUGCUGAUCAACUGGUUGCUGACAGGCUGGUCCUGGGGCUGGUUGAGGGUCAACCUCAUCCUCUUCUUCCAAUUCACUAUCAAACUCCGAAUUGACAGAGACAUGAUCCUCAUAUUCUGAAAAUGCUUAAUCUUCCAAAGUGGAAGACGCUCCUUCCACACAAGCUUCUGCCUCUGUAAAAAUGAUUUCUAAGGCCCUCUGAGCAGAGAUCAUUUUUGCCAUACUGAGUGAUUGUGGACCAUUGUUCAGAACAACCAGAGCAACCAGUGAGGAGAAACAACCAUAGAUUCCCAGUAGGCAGGUCCAAUCACCUCUGUUAUCAACUGUUCAAACAGCCUGCAUAUCCACUGUGUACCCACUAC
rnacentral:lncRNA from 1 species